AAUGCUUGAUGAGAUCGUAGCUAGUUCUUGUGGGUCCCAGGUAGCGCAGCCGAUGAGAGCAGGGCCUCCCUUGUUUGGUCGCUCGGCUGAGACAUAGGAGCCGCACCGACUUUGUUGCAUCAUCAUUUAAUUAAUGCCUUUAUCAAAAUAAUUUGAUUCCUUUGUUUUGUAACAGUCGAAGACAUUAACUUGAUUGGGAUAUUACUUGGCAUCCGACCUCCGUUGGCACCGCAUAUGCUAAGAACCAGAUGGGAGAGAAUACCCAAUGCGAGAGAACGAUCGCAAGGAGAUCGAUGAAGAGGACACCAUGGAGCAGAUUCCCUCGGCGGCAUCCACCCAAGAUCACAGGAAUUUUCAGUCUACGUUGCAGGACUUACCUUCUCGUAAUUCGUGCAUGCCUGUGUGAUAAACGACCACCGACCAGCAUUAGUCGUGAUUGGUGCCACCGUAUAAAUAUCGAGCGAUGAUGACAGUUCCGACUUCUUCGCGUGAAUGCCCUCUUGUUUCGUUCUCGAGUCGGAGAACUUUUCUCUUGCAUCUUCUUCUUCCCGUGAUUACGCCCUCUGUUUCGUCCUCCCGUCCCUCCCUCCCUCCCUCUGCCUUCUCCUCCGUCUUCCCUUCUUCUGCCUCUCCCAUCUCCUCCCCUCCACCCGUUCCUCCGUCUUCUCCGUAUUCCCUUCUUCUGCCUCUGCCCUCUUCCGAUGACAAGCACGUUUCGAACUUCCCAUCCGAGUCCAUCGCCGCCGCCGCUGCAAGCUUCCAGGAGGUUCCCGUUGUGAAGCGUAAACCGUUGGGCUUCGUUGGGUCCGGAUCGACCUUACUAUCCGUCGUAAGAUCGGUAAUCUGUGAUGUUCUUGAUCCCUUUCUUUCCUGAGUAUUCUAUUACGAUCUUGGAUCUUGAAGUUAUUUUCUAAAUUUUUGUUCCUGAUGUCGAAUCUUCAAUUGAUCGCGUUAUCAAUUUGUUAUCUAUUUUCUCGAUCAAUUUUCGUUGUAAAAUCGGUAAUCUGUGAUGUUCUUGAUCCCUUUCUUUCCUGAUUAUUCUAUUACGAUCUUGGAUCUUGAAGUUCUUAUCUGAAUUUUUGUUCCUGAUGUCGAAUCUUCAAUUGACCGAGUUAUCAAUUUGUUGUCUAUUUUCUUGAUCAAUUUCCGUCGUAAGAUUGGUAACCUGUGGUGUUCUUGGUCCCUUACUUUUCUGAGUUUUCUAUUACGAUCUUGGAUCUUGAAGUUCUUUUCUGAAUUUUUAUUCGUGAUGUUCAAUCUUGAAUUGAUCAAGUUGUCUAUUUUUUCUUUGUUAUUAUUUGUGACCUUGGAUCCCCUCUUCUUGUAUUAGUACUAGAUCUUUAACUAAUAAUUCGUGAUAUGUUGUGUAGCUUCCUUUUUAAGUUUUGUUUGUUAUCCUGGAUCUUGCAUUGAUAGAAAAUGCGGUUUGGAUUUGGAUCUGCGUGAAGAGAUGUUAUCUGAAGGAAAUUGGUAUUAACAAUAAAUUAAUGCGACCUGUGAAAAUUUCUUGUAUGGAGGAAAUGAAUUUUGCAUUGCUAUAUGCUAAAAAUUGAAAUGGGAGAUAAAAUAAGAAAGAGCUCGAAGGAGUUGUUGCGCAAGGGCUUCAAAUUAUUUUCGGAGUUAUUCCAAUUUAUACUCCUCUAACACUUAUGUUUUCCACACGAAUAAUAUAUGCAGUACAUUGUGGGACUAGGAGCUAGGAAGUAAGAGCAAAUGAUAUAUGCGUGACUGGUUACAACAUGGCCCAGUUUGUUGGCCAUUGAUGUUGAGAAUUCCAGUGAGGAUAACUAUUUUCAGGUAGUUCUGGUGCAACGCGUGUAGUUCUGUUCUAUAUGGGCAACAAAAGUGUGUUUCCAAUUUAUUAUCACCUAACUCUGUUUCCUACCAGGUCGUGUAUGGCCAGAAGAUAAAUGUGUGACUGGCCACAACAUGGCUUAUUGUACAAGUUAUUAAUGUUGAGGUUAGCUUUCAGGCUAAUUCUAGUGCACUGUGCUUAGGUUAUGUGUUGUAGGAUCAGUGGGUUUUGGUAUAGCCUUAAUGCAUCUUGCUGUUAUGUAGUCAAAUAUCCUGUUAUUCUUGAGAAAUGCUAUUUUGUUGUACUGCUGCCUUACUAACUCUGAGUGUUAUGAAUAUAUUUGAUAAUUCAUAUA